GAAUGGGACAUUGUGCGAGGCGAGCUUCGACUGCAUUCGAUGUGAGGUUGAUAGAAAACACCUGAAACUGGCAUUGAGAGCGGCUGUGAGUAUAUGGCAGGACAGCUUCAGGCUUAUGGCCAUCUCGGACUCUCCUCAGAGAGCUGAUCUUUGGCUGAUCAACACGUGUACUCUGAAAGCUCCGACAAUGGAAACACUGAUAUGUAAAGGCAAAGCGGCCUCUAUUCCCUUGGUGGAUAGCUGGAUGCGUUCCUCAGGGUUUAAAAGAUCUCGAAGCCAUCAGCGUCAUCGGAGUGCAGCAAAUACAGCAGGGGAGACUUUGAAAGGCCACGAGGCCUGGCUGCUUCAACGGGAUGCUUUACCGUCUCUUGAUUUGCCAAAAGUUUAUAAUCUCUUUUGCUGUUGUGUUUUCAGGUUCGUAAGAACAAGUUUGUCGAGAUCAUUCCUAUCAACGUUGGCUGCUUGGGUGCUUGCACAUACUGCAAGAUGAAGCAUGCUCGCGGGCAUCUUGGCAGCUACACAGUAGAUGCACUAGUGCAAAGAUUGAAAACUGUGGUGUCUGAAGGUGUGAAGGAGAUAUGGCGACACUGGAGCUUGUUACAUGACACACCUCGCCACAUGUCCAUUAGGGUUUUCCUAUUCUGUCUGCUACUCAUGGUAUCAGAGCUGGAAUAGCACUAUGGAAGGAAAGCCAUCCAUCCGCAAGUUUGAUGGAGAAGGGUUUGAGGGAUUCAAGAUCCAUCUUGAAUCCUAUCUCUUGUUU